rnacentral:rRNA from 1 species
GCCCUUAGAGUUUGAUCCUGGCUCAGAACGAACGCUGGCGGCAGGCUUAACACAUGCAAGUCGAGCGCACUCUUCGGAGUGAGCGGCGGACGGGUGAGUAACGCGUGGGAACGUGCCCUUCGGUGCGGAAUAUACCAGGGAAACUUGGGGCAAUACCGCAUACGCCCUACGGGGGAAAGAUUUAUCGCCGAGGGAUCGGCCCGCGUUGGAUUAGGUAGUUGGUGGGGUAAUGGCCUACCAAGCCGACGAUCCAUAGCUGGUUUGAGAGGAUGAUCAGCCACACUGGGACUGAGACACGGCCCAGACUCCUACGGGAGGCAGCAGUGGGGAAUCUUGGACAAUGGGGGAAACCCUGAUCCAGCCAUGCCGCGUGAGCGAUGAAGGCCUUACGGUUGUAAAGCUCUUUCGCUGGGUAAGAUAAUGACGGUACCCAGUAAAGAAGCCCCGGCUAACUCCGUGCCA